UACACUCCUGCGGGAGGCAGCAGUGGGGAAUAUUGCACAAUGGGCGCAAGCCUGAUGCAGCCAUGCCGCGUGUAUGAAGAAGGCCUUCGGGUUGUAAAGUACUUUCAGCGGGGAGGAAGGCGAUAAGGUUAAUAACCUUGUUGAUUGACGUUACCCGCAGAAGAAGCACCGGCUAACUCCGUGCCAGCAGCCGCGGUAAUACGGAGGGUGCAAGCGUUAAUCGGAAUUACUGGGCGUAAAGCGCACGCAGGCGGUCUGUCAAGUCGGAUGUGAAAUCCCCGGGCUCAACCUGGGAACUGCAUUCGAAACUGGCAGGCUAGAGUCUUGUAGAGGGGGGUAGAAUUCCAGGUGUAGCGGUGAAAUGCGUAGAGAUCUGGAGGAAUACCGGUGGCGAAGGCGGCCCCCUGGACAAAGACUGACGCUCAGGUGCGAAAGCGUGGGGAGCAAACAGGAUUAGAUACCCCUGUAGUCCCAU
rnacentral:rRNA from 1 species